rnacentral:rRNA from 1 species
AGCGUACACGGUGGAUGCCCUGGCAGUCAGAGGCGAUGAAGGACGUGCUAAUCUGCGAUAAGCGUCGGUAAGGUGAUAUGAACCGUUAUAACCGGCGAUUUCCGAAUGGGGAAACCCAGUGUGAUUCGUCACACUAUCAUUAACUGAAUCCAUAGGUUAAUGAGGCGAACCGGGGGAACUGAAACAUCUAAGUACCCCGAGGAAAAGAAAUCAACCGAGAUUCCCCCAGUAGCGGCGAGCGAACGGGGAGCAGCCCAGAGCCUGAAUCAGUGUGUGUGUUAGUGGAAGCGUCUGGAAAGGCGUGCGAUACAGGGUGACAGCCCCGUACACAAAAAUGCACAUACUGUGAGCUCGAUGAGUAGGGCGGGACACGUGGUAUCCUGUCUGAAUAUGGGGGGACCAUCCUCCAAGGCUAAAUACUCCUGACUGACCGAUAGUGAACCAGUACCGUGAGGGAAAGGCGAAAAGAACCCCGGCGAGGGGAGUGAAAAAGAACCUGAAACCGUGUACGUACAAGCAGUGGGAGCACGCUUAGGCGUGUGACUGCGUACCUUUUGUAUAAUGGGUCAGCGACUUAUAUUCUGUAGCAAGGUUAACCGAAUAGGGGAGCCGAAGGGAAACCGAGUCUUAACUGGGCGUUAAGUUGCAGGGUAUAGACCCGAAACCCGGUGAUCUAGCCAUGGGCAGGUUGAAGGUUGGGUAACACUAACUGGAGGACCGAACCGACUAAUGUUGAAAAAUUAGCGGAUGACUUGUGGCUGGGGGUGAAAGGCCAAUCAAACCGGGAGAUAGCUGGUUCUCCCCGAAAGCUAUUUAGGUAGCGCCUCGUGAAUUCAUCUCCGGGGGUAGAGCACUGUUUCGGCAAGGGGGUCAUCCCGACUUACCAACCCGAUGCAAACUGCGAAUACCGGAGAAUGUUAUCACGGGAGACACACGGCGGGUGCUAACGUCCGUCGUGAAGAGGGAAACAACCCAGACCGCCAGCUAAGGUCCCAAAGUCAUGGUUAAGUGGGAAACGAUGUGGGAAGGCCCAGACAGCCAGGAUGUUGGCUUAGAAGCAGCCAUCAUUUAAAGAAAGCGUAAUAGCUCACUGGUCGAGUCGGCCUGCGCGGAAGAUGUAACGGGGCUAAACCAUGCACCGAAGCUGCGGCAGCGACGCUGAUGCGUUGUUGGGUAGGGGAGCGUUCUGUAAGCCUGCGAAGGUGUGCUGUGAGGCAUGCUGGAGGUAUCAGAAGUGCGAAUGCUGACAUAAGUAACGAUAAAGCGGGUGAAAAGCCCGCUCGCCGGAAGACCAAGGGUUCCUGUCCAACGUUAAUCGGGGCAGGGUGAGUCGACCCCUAAGGCGAGGCCGAAAGGCGUAGUCGAUGGGAAACAGGUUAAUAUUCCUGUACUUGGUGUUACUGCGAAGGGGGGACGGAGAAGGCUAUGUUGGCCGGGCGACGGUUGUCCCGGUUUAAGCGUGUAGGCUGGUUUUCCAGGCAAAUCCGGAAAAUCAAGGCUGAGGCGUGAUGACGAGGCACUACGGUGCUGAAGCAACAAAUGCCCUGCUUCCAGGAAAAGCCUCUAAGCAUCAGGUAACAUCAAAUCGUACCCCAAACCGACACAGGUGGUCAGGUAGAGAAUACCAAGGCGCUUGAGAGAACUCGGGUGAAGGAACUAGGCAAAAUGGUGCCGUAACUUCGGGAGAAGGCACGCUGAUAUGUAGGUGAAGUCCCUCGCGGAUGGAGCUGAAAUCAGUCGAAGAUACCAGCUGGCUGCAACUGUUUAUUAAAAACACAGCACUGUGCAAACACGAAAGUGGACGUAUACGGUGUGACGCCUGCCCGGUGCCGGAAGGUUAAUUGAUGGGGUUAGCGCAAGCGAAGCUCUUGAUCGAAGCCCCGGUAAACGGCGGCCGUAACUAUAACGGUCCUAAGGUAGCGAAAUUCCUUGUCGGGUAAGUUCCGACCUGCACGAAUGGCGUAAUGAUGGCCAGGCUGUCUCCACCCGAGACUCAGUGAAAUUGAACUCGCUGUGAAGAUGCAGUGUACCCGCGGCAAGACGGAAAGACCCCGUGAACCUUUACUAUAGCUUGACACUGAACAUUGAGCCUUGAUGUGUAGGAUAGGUGGGAGGCUUUGAAGUGUGGACGCCAGUCUGCAUGGAGCCGACCUUGAAAUACCACCCUUUAAUGUUUGAUGUUCUAACGUGGACCCGUAAUCCGGGUUGCGGACAGUGUCUGGUGGGUAGUUUGACUGGGGCGGUCUCCUCCUAAAGAGUAACGGAGGAGCACGAAGGUUGGCUAAUCCUGGUCGGACAUCAGGAGGUUAGUGCAAUGGCAUAAGCCAGCUUGACUGCGAGCGUGACGGCGCGAGCAGGUGCGAAAGCAGGUCAUAGUGAUCCGGUGGUUCUGAAUGGAAGGGCCAUCGCUCAACGGAUAAAAGGUACUCCGGGGAUAACAGGCUGAUACCGCCCAAGAGUUCAUAUCGACGGCGGUGUUUGGCACCUCGAUGUCGGCUCAUCACAUCCUGGGGCUGAAGUAGGUCCCAAGGGUAUGGCUGUUCGCCAUUUAAAGUGGUACGCGAGCUGGGUUUAGAACGUCGUGAGACAGUUCGGUCCCUAUCUGCCGUGGGCGCUGGAGAACUGAGGGGGGCUGCUCCUAGUACGAGAGGACCGGAGUGGACGCAUCACUGGUGUUCGGGUUGUCAUGCCAAUGGCACUGCCCGGUAGCUAAAUGCGGAAGAGAUAAGUGCUGAAAGCAUCUAAGCACGAAACUUGCCCCGAGAUGAGUUCUCCCUGACUCCUUGA